rnacentral:rRNA from 1 species
AGGGUUCGAUUCUGGCUCAGGAUGAACGCUAGCGACAGGCUUAACACAUGCAAGUCGAGGGCAGCAUAAAAGUAGCAAUACUUGGUGGCGACCGGCGCACGGGUGAGUAACGCGUAUGCAACCUACCUAUCAGAGGGGAAUAACCCGGCGAAAGUCGGACUAAUACCGCAUAAAACAGGGGCACCGCAUGGUGAUAUUUGUUAAAGAAAUUCGCUGAUAGAUGGGCAUGCGUUCCAUUAGGUAGUUGGUGAGGUAACGGCUCACCAAGCCGACGAUGGAUAGGGGAACUGAGAGGUUGGUCCCCCACACUGGUACUGAGACACGGACCAGACUCCUACGGGAGGCAGCAGUGAGGAAUAUUGGUCAAUGGGCGGGAGCCUGAACCAGCCAAGUCGCGUGAAGGAAAGAAGGAUCUAUGGUUCGUAAACUUCUUUUGCAGGGGAAUAAAGUGCAGGACGUGUCCUGUUUUGUAUGUACCCUGAGAAUAAGGAUCGGCUAACUCCGUGCCAGCAGCAGC